UAAAAUUGCAGUUGAUACUGUCAGUCUUGAGUACAGUAGAGGUGGGCGGAAUUCGUGGUGUAGCGGUGAAAUGCUUAGAUAUCACGAAGAACUCCGAUUGCGAAGGCAGCUCACUGGACUGCAACUGACACUGAUGCUCGAAAGUGUGGGUAUCAAACAGGAUUAGAUACCCUGGUAGUCCACACAGUAAACGAUGAAUACUCGCUGUUUGCGAUAUACAGUAAGCGGCCAAGCGAAAGCAUUAAGUAUUCCACCUGGGGAGUACGCCGGCAACGGUGAAACUCAAAGGAAUUGACGGGGGCCCGCACAAGCGGAGGAACAUGUGGUUUAAUUCGAUGAUACGCGAGGAACCUUACCCGGGCUUAAAUUGCAGUGGAAUGAUGUGGAAACAUGUCAGUGAGCAAUCACCGCUGUGAAGGUGCUGCAUGGUUGUCGUCAGCUCGUGCCGUGAGGUGUCGGCUUAAGUGCCAUAACGAGCGCAACCCUUAUCUUCAGUUACUAACAGGUCAUGCUGAGGACUCUGGAGAGACUGCCGUCGUAAGAUGUGAGGAAGGUGGGGAUGACGUCAAAUCAGCACGGCCCUUACGUCCGGGGCUACACACGUGUUACAAUGGGGGGUACAGAAGGCAGCUAGCGGGUGACCGUAUGCUAAUCCCAAAAUCCUCUCUCAGUUCGGAUCGAAGUCUGCAACCCGACUUCGUGAAGCUGGAUUCGCUAGUAAUCGCGCAUCAGCCACGGCGCGGUGAAUACGUUCCCGGGCCUUGUACACACCGCCCGUCAAGCCAUGGGAGCCGGNNNNNNCUGAAGUACGUAACCGCAAGGAUCGUCCUAGGGUAAAACUGGUGACUGGGGAUAGGUCGUAACAAGGUAACCA
rnacentral:rRNA from 1 species